rnacentral:rRNA from 17 species
UCAGAUUGAACGCUGGCGGCAUGCCUUACACAUGCAAGUCGAACGGUAACAGAACUAGCUUGCUAGUUGCUGACGAGUGGCGGACGGGUGAGUAAUGCUUGGGAAUUUGCCUUUAGGUGGGGGACAACAGUUGGAAACGACUGCUAAUACCGCAUAAUAGCUACGGCUUAAAGGGGGCUUCGGCUCUCGCCUUUAGAGAAGCCCAAGUGGGAUUAGAUAGUUGGUGAGGUAAAGGCUCACC